CAACAGAAAUGCGUUAUGAGACACCUUCUAGAGAGAACAGCUCCAUUGCUAUAUAUAAUUUAUUAACUUUAGAGUUUAGUUUCUCAAUAUUCAGCAAGUUUGUUUAAAAGUUACUAUGGGCAUUGGUUUACAGUGACA